UACGGGGGGGGCAAGCGUUGUUCGGAAUUACUGGGCGUAAAGGGCUCGUAGGUGGCCAACUAAGUCGGACGUGAAAUCCCUCAGCUUAACUGGGGAACUGCGUCCGAUACUGGAUGGCUUGAGUUUGGGAGAGGGAUGCGGAAUUCCAGGUGUAGCGGUGAAAUGCGUAGAUAUCUGGAGGAACACCGGUGGCGAAGGCGGCAUCCUGGACCAACACUGACACUGAGGCGCGAAAGCGUGGGGAGCAAACAGG
rnacentral:rRNA from 1 species